UAAUGGUAUAACUUGUUAGGAUUUUAAAAAUAUUCAUAAUUUAUCUAAUAUCCUCAUGAAUACCUUCUUAGGCCAUAAGGUUUAGAGCAGGAAUUCCUGUUAAGACUAGGACACAAAUAUGUGUGUAACUUAUGGCAGAACAGCACAAGACCCUAACCUUCACCAGGUGUUCGGUAAAGGUGAAUUCAUGGAAAGAAAUUCUAUGGUACUUGCUACCCCAACUACUCAUUUGUCAUAUGCCAUCUGAGGACCAAUGAUGUUGGUUAUCUGUUCAUGUAAGUAUCCACUGCUUCUCUCCCUGUGUUUUAAGGUCAAUGUAUAUCUCCCACAAAGUUCAGCAUUUAGUAAAGGCAUGAUGAGUGUCUACAGCCUGGCGAGGGGAAUUAUUCUCUAAUUAAAUGAGACUUAUUCCAAAGUCUCAUUAGGUCACUUUGGUUAAAGUGCACUUGGAUCUGUAAAUUCCACAAAGUAGAAUGUUCCUGGAGUGAGAAUUCUUGUAUCUGGGGUAACUAGCGGAAGAAACUCUUCAAACUAUGCAUCCUGAGCAGGUACCUUCUUUACCUGUGAAUGCCUCUGGGGAAAGAUGAAGAGUACAUACUUUUCAAAUAGAUGGGAUCUCUAUGUUGCCUAGGUUGGACUCAAAUCCCCACGCUCAAGCCUCAGCCUUGCACCUGGAACUACAAACAUGCAUCACCAUGCCUAGCUAAUAGUGGACUUUGGAUUGAUACAUAUAUAAGCCUCAGACUUUCAAAAUCACAAGGUAGAUGAGGAAACAGAGACUCAGAAAGAUCAUGCAACUUCACCAAGACCCCACUGCAAAAUCUUCUUGGGCCAUUACUCCCUCGGAGAGAAGCAAAUCCUUCGUAGGGAAUACUGGAUGUGCCUGUAACAAACUGUCAACCCAAGAAAACAGAAGGAGAAGGUGAAGCCAGAGACCAACAGCUAGGAAAGGCAUCACGUCAUUCAUGGGCAGAGCUCCUGAAGAAUAGUAGGCAGGAGAGUUCUGAAGACAAAACUUCAUAGGCGUGGAAUAACCACAACACAAUUCUGACACAGAGCCAGAAGAAAAUACUAAGAAAGGACUGUGCAUGAUAAAGGCAAAGGGGAUGUGAAGGGUUUGUAGAAAAUAAAGCACCUGAUGCAGCUCAAACCAGGCACAUUUCCCGCUAUAGAUGAAUAAAGAGUCUCAGUUAAUAUCAAUUAACCCGAGUCUAUUUAGCAUCAGUCCCUGAUCAAUAUCGGAUGAAUUUAAAAAAGAGAAUGUCUGGGCCUGCAAUUUUGAGGCCCACACCCUUAACCCAAAGAUCCAGAGUUCUUGUAAAGCUCUGCCUGAGCAUCCAGAGGCUUCUUCAUGUCUGGUAUCUCUUUAGCUGCAACCAACCAGCGAUUGACUGUAAACACCACAAAUAAAAAAACAAGUUUGCUUUCUCAGUGUUCUUGAAUGUCACUGUUUUCUCAAAGUUGUGGAAAGUUAGAUGAAACAGAAUAAAGAACUGUUUAUCAACUAACUGCAUCCCUUUUUCAAGGACUGGAGAUCAUGUCUUUCUGCUGCUAGGGAUGCCAGCCUGCACUUUGGGUACCCUGGGUGCCUCUUGCUGAAGGGACCAAACUGUCCUGAAGGCAGAUACUGUUACUGGGAUUCUUGGACUGGGCUUGACACUUCGCUACAAUUCUGAUGAAAUGCUUUAACUUGGCUGGGGAUGUUCUGAAUAGCCAUGGAGUCACAUAACCAUGCAAUUAGGAGUCUAGAAAUGGUGUAUCUCACAUUUCCAGAUACACACGGUCUAUUUCAGCUGUGCCUGCGAUGACCAAUUCCAGUUCUCUUGCAUCAAAAACAGAUACCAGCCUGGCAUCCACCACCUGUGGAAUAAGAAGAGUACAAGGCGUGCCUUAAGACCCUGGAGAAAUAUCAGCUGUAAUUAAACCUUAGAAAAGAGGACAUAUGGAGUUUCAGAAAUAAUAUGUGUGUACCUUGUGUUGGCACGUGAAAACCUGUCACACUCCCUACGAAUAUAAGGUAUUCUUUAGUAUAAGGUUGAUGAGAUUUGCCUUGACAGAAUUUUUGUUUUAUAAUUGACUGCUGAUUCAUCUAGGUCCUGUCUACCUUUAGGAAAAUAUCUAGUGUUUCUACAGAAAAAGUCACAUGAAAUACAUACCAACUCAUUCUGACCCUCAGAUAUAAUUAUUUCACAUAGCAGGCAUGAGAUUUGAUUACCAGUAUCUAAGCAAAAGAUGGAUGCUUAAAUGUUCCUAGUGGUUGUUAAAUCAACAAAUGCUACUUCAACUCAGUUCAUAACAUUUAUUUCAGUGAUUUCUUGUAGCAGUGAGUUAAGCUUUUUUUUUUUUGUGCUCUUGAAACAUAUGGGAAAAAUACGGAACUUUUCUCAUAGAAAGAGAAACAGUAAAUACAGCAGAAACAGCCUACACUUGUAAAGUGCAAUAAGAUGGAUUAUAGCCUCAUUGAUAUCAGACUGCAAACUCCUGCUACUUCUGAUUAUCUUUACCUCAU